UACAGGGGGGGCGAGCGUUGUUCGGAAUUACUGGGCGUAAAGGGUUCGUAGGUGGCUGACUAAGUCAGACGUGAAAUCCCUCAGCUUAACUGGGGAACUGCGUCUGAGACUGGAGAGCUUGAGUGCAGGAGAGGAACGCGGAAUUCCAGGUGUAGCGGUGAAAUACGUAGAUAUCGAGAGGAACACCUGCGGCGAAGGCGGGUUGCUGGGCUGACACUGACGCUGAUGCGCGAAAGCCAGGGGAGCGAACGGG
rnacentral:rRNA from 1 species